UGGGGUGUUGCUCACGGGUAGAGCAUUUGCCUUGUAACAACAAAGCCCUAGGUUCAAUCCCCAGCACUGCAA
rnacentral:tRNA from 1 species